ensembl:ncRNA C05C9.11 ncRNA
AUGCAAUUUAAACAGGUGCCAAUGGUGCAAUGAGGCGUGUCGGUGAGAAGAUGGGCAGAAGGAAUGUCUAGAUGAUCAGGUGAACAACGCUCAUUAUCCCUAACAUGGUAUUUGGGAGGCAAAGUGAAAUGAAAAACAAUUGG